AUUGAACGCUGGCGGAAUGCUUUACACAUGCAAGUCGAACGGCAGCACAGGUGCUUGCACCUGGUGGCGAGUGGCGAACGGGUGAGUAAUACAUCGGAACGUACCCAGUCGUGGGGGAUAACGUAGCGAAAGUUACGCUAAUACCGCAUACGUCCUGAGGGAGAAAGCGGGGGACCGUAAGGCCUCGCGCGAUUGGAGCGGCCGAUGGCGGAUUAGCUAGUUGGUGGGGUAAAGGCCUACCAAGGCGACGAUCCGUAGCGGGUCUGAGAGGACGGCCCGCCAAACGGGAACUGAGACACGGUCCAGACUCCUACGGGAGGCAGCAGUGGGGAAUUUUGGACAAUGGGCGAAAGCCUGAUCCAGCCAUUCCGCGUGAGUGAAGAAGGCCUUCGGGUUGUAAAGCUCUUUCGGCAGGGAAGAAACGGCUUGGGAUAAUACCCCGGGCUAAUGACGGUACCUGAAGAAGAAGCACCGGCUAACUACGUGCCAGCAGCCGCAGUAA
rnacentral:rRNA from 1 species